rnacentral:rRNA from 1 species
GAUAGCCAUGCUAGUCGCACGAGUUCAGACUCGUGGCGAAUAGCUCAGUAACACGUGGCCAAACUACCCUUCGGAACACAAUACCCUCGGGAAACUGAGGCUAAUAGUGUAUACCAUACCACCACUGGAAUGAGUGGUAUGCCAAACGCUCCGGCGCCGAAGGAUGUGGCUGCGGCCGAUUAGGUAGACGGUGGGGUAACGGCCCACCGUGCCAAUAAUCGGUAUGGGUCAUGAGAGUGAGAACCCAGAGACGGAAUCUGAGACAAGAUUCCGGGCCCUACGGGGCGCAGCAGGCGCGAAACCUUUACACUGCACGACAGUGCGAUAGGGGGAUCCCAAGUGCACAGGCAUAGCGCCUGUGCUUUUCGGUACCCUAAGGUGGUACCAUAAUAAGGGCUGGGCAAGACCGGUGCCAGCCGCCGCGGUAAUACCGGCAGCCCAAGUGAUGGCCGAUCUUAUUGGGCCUAAAGCGUCCGUAGCUGGCCGCGCAAGUCCAUCGGGAAAUCCACCUGCUCAACAGGUGGGCGCCCGGUAGAAACUGCGUGGCUUGGGACCGGAAGGCGCGACGGGUACGUCCGGGGUAGGAGUGAAAUCCCGUAAUCCUGGACGGACC